rnacentral:other from 1 species
ACGGAGCUGCGGGGCAGGUCAGGUAGCAUUAUCCCCGGGGCCGAUACUCACUCCUUGGGAACUGUCCCUAUUGGUGCCCUGGCAUCAGUACACGGUGCCCACCUGCUGUAAGCGGGUCCUGGAGGAAAGCAAAGCCAACGGCUUCUGCGGCUCCGUC